UAUAUUUCUCAACCUUAAAAACAUCGUUUCUUUCUCCAGGUAGGCAGUACACAGGUAUGCUAUACGUGAGUGCACUGGCUGCAGGAUGUGGCAUGUUAAAACUUUUAACUUCAGCAGUCUUCGAGGGAGGAAGUUUCUAAUUAUUUUGAAAACCACCCCAUACAUCUCUUCAAGGUUGUUGCUGUACCUGCAUGACAUGACAUCGCAUGAACUUUUAGAAAUGGCAGCCGAUUGUGCUUGGUUAUCCAGAAGGGCCAAGAUUCAAGAUUCGUGUCUUUGGAGAAGUGCCAUAUUGACAACCUUGCUGAACAAGGAAUCCACUUUUUUCUUCAUCUGGAUAAUCUUCUGUUAAAGGUUCCAUUAAAUGAAUGUUACUCUACAACAUAGAUUGGGCAAUUAGCCAAUCUGCAUGGAGGUAUUCAAAGAAAAUCACGUUGAAAUGUCAAUAUUUUAAAAUGCAGGUUUUUUGCGAGUUCCCUGCAUACAAAUAUAUCUUCACGAACAAACGCUAUUCAAGUGUCCCUUUCAAGUGUUAUUCGUUUUCAUAGACUCUGUAGCUACAAAAAAAAACCAAAACAAUUCCUUUGAGUUUUCUUUUGAAGAUGUUCCAUGGGAGAGAAAGAAAAUGAAGGAUCUAGAUAGAGGACAGAUUUAAAAAGCAUGUGAUUCAGUAGAUUAAAAGUUGUCGGAUCUAUUUUAUUUGUUCGAUGUGAAAGUCGCCUUCCUAUACUAUAUUUCUCAUCACGGACAGUGGAAAACACUAAUGUUCAAAUACUAUUUGAAACCAUACUUUUGCUUGAAUGUACGUUACGUAUAGCACUGUGUAUUUUUUAUGAAUUGAUCCAAUACAUGAAUAGGUAUUCUCUAGUGCGGGUAACAUUGUGAUAUGGAGCCCCUUUAAAGGUGAUGUAUAAAACCGGUGAGUGGCUAGGUCGCCGAUAAUAGCCCUUGCAUUCCGGCUCUGGCUAUGUUAUUGGCGACCAGACCCUUUAUCUUCUAAUUGCUCAGUAACAACGUUAUUGUCUUGUUGAAAGGUCGGUUCAUACUCUGUGAAGUUACGGCAAUUCACUUUGUGAAGUUACGGCAAUCAUUAACGGGAAAAAGAGUGAACCACAUUUAACUCUGGGCAAUUUUGAGUCAAAUGGUUUCGAUGUCAACAUUUCAAAAUUUGCUUUCACUUGAAGUAUAAACCGAUCGUUAGAGCUCAGCCCAGUCACUAAGGAGUGAAUUCCUUAAUGUGGAUUCAAGUAAAAGACUUUAAUUUUAUACCAUUCACGAAAUGGACACUGAAGUAAUAUGUGCAUAUUGAUGUGUCCAAAUAAUUGCAGUGAGUAUUAAUUACACUUACCGUUUUAGUGAUUGCAUUUUAGUAAUGUUUUUACAUGCUGUUGUUUCUGAACACUCUUUGUAAUAAAAUUAGAGAAACAUGAA